UACGGGGGGGGCAAGCGUUGUUCGGAAUUACUGGGCGUAAAGGGCUCGUGGGCGGCCAACUAAGUCAUACGUGAAAUCCCUCGGCUUAACCGGGGAACUGCGUCUGAUACUGGAUGGCUUGAGUUCGGGAGAGGAAUGCGGAAUUCCAGGUGUAGCGGUGAAAUGCGUAGAUAUCUGGAGGAACACCGGUGGCGAAGGCAGCCCCCUGGGUCAAGAUUGACGCUCAUGCACGAAAGCGUGGGGAGCAAACAGG
rnacentral:rRNA from 1 species